CGUCAUUUAGCAAAAAAUCAAGUUCCUCUGGAAAUUAGUUGGCAACACUGAGCGGAAUGCGGCGAAAGCACCUACGGAAUGCCGACGACUCGAAUGUGCUGCUCUGAAAUGCAGGACAGAUGCCAGGGAAGUCCAGAAGAAUGACACGUCUGCAUUACUUGUGACAUGACUUCCUGACUUCAAGGCAUCUGAUCAGAAUCUCCACUUGGAGUUCCAUUCUGGAAUAGGAAUGUGUGCCGAAUACCUGAUUCCAGACCACGAGACUGAUGCGCUUUGUGAAAAUCCAGACGUGGGGAUGCCGUUUCCUGAAGGGACCACGACCUUCUGGGUUUGAGUGGUGUGGUCAGUGGACUUGCAGCGUGGACUCCAACAUACUGGUUCAUCUGUAUGUGGCUGAACAGGGAGCUGUGAUGCCAACUAGACUGGUCCUGAUGGUGGUACCAGACUGGUCACUACAAGAUGCCUGUUACUGAACUACCUCAAGUUGAUGUCCUUGUGGGUCUGCAGUCUUCAGGAAGGUGUGUAUGAUUUGUUUUUACAGCAUCUUCACUCACUGACCCUGCACCUCUUGCACAAACUCUACCUACUCAUUAACAUCACUGAGGGAACUACAACUCCCAUGAAUGUUUUACUACAGUGCACACCCACUACAUGGAACAUUCUGGAAUGCUGUUUGUGAUGACUCCUCACGACAGUUGAUUGGCUUCUGUCUGGUGCUCUGUGGCUGGCAUCAACCCAGGUUUCCCAUCGGUCCUCCUGUGGGUUGGGCAGGCACUGAUAAGCCUGCUCUUGUCGAGGGGCAGGGGUAAGGUGGGCUGCCUGCCUGGAGGGAGGGUGUCUGGGUGGGGAGCUUGUAGCCAGACCUUGGACCGCUGGCUGGAUGGCUACAAUGACUGAACUCAAGUCUGAUCUCAUUUCAGAAUGCUCUGCAUAUAGUCUGCAGUACCUGAUGUACUUCUGCAUCAUGUUUAAUUGGGGAUCUGUUCCUUCCAGGUCCUAAAUGUUCCAUCCUGGCCACUGGAGGAAUGUUACUGAACUACCUCAAGGUUUCUGCCCCUCUGGUUGAGGUCCUGGUGUCUGCAGGGUUUGGAAAGAUCUGGUUGGCUGCUGAAGUGUUGCUGUGCUGGUGGAGUGGGAAGCUCUCCUGUUUUACACCUGCAAGCCAAGCCCUCUUGCACUCCUGAUUGGUCAGCAAAGAAGUGGGACGUCUCGUUGGAACUGAGGGGAAACCAGGCCAAGUCAAUUCAAUCCCACGACUGUGUUUUGAUGUAUGAAUAAAUCUACAAAUGUU